rnacentral:rRNA from 1 species
GAUGAACGCUGGCGGCGUGCCUAAUACAUGCAAGUCGAGCGAACGGACGAGAAGCUUGCUUUUCUGAUGUUAGCGACGGACGGGUGAGUAACACGUGGAUAACCUACCUAUAAGACUGGGAUAACUUCGGGAAACCGGAGCUAAUACCGGAUAAUAUUUUGAACCGCAUGGUUCAAAAGUGAAAGACGGUCUUGCUGUCACUUAUAGAUGGAUCCGCGCUGCAUUAGCUAGUUGGUAAGGUAACGGCUUACCAAGGCAACGAUGCAUAGCCGACCUGAGAGGGUGAUCGGCCACACUGGAACUGAGACACGGUCCAGACUCCUACGGGAGGCAGCAGUAGGGAAUCUUCCGCAAUGGGCGAAAGCCUGACGGAGCAACGCCGCGUGAGUGAUGAAGGUCUUCGGAUCGUAAAACCCUGUUAUUAGGGAAGAACAUAUGUGUAAGUAACUGUGCACAUCUUGACGGUACCUAAUCAGAAAGCCACGGCUAACUACGUG